AACGUAGGUUCCGAGCGUUAUCCGGAUUUACUGGGCGUAAAGCGUGUUCAGGCGGCUCAGCCAGUCGGGCAUGAAAUCUCUCGGCUCAACCGGGAGAGGCUGUCCGAUACUGCUGGGCUUGAGGGCAGGAGAGGGUGGUGGAAUUCCGGGUGUAGUGGUGAAAUGCGUAGAUAUCCGGAGGAACACCAGUGGCGAAAGCGGCCACCUGGUCUGCACCUGACGCUCAAACACGAAAGCUAGGGGAGCGAACGGG
rnacentral:rRNA from 1 species